UGAACAACUGCAGCUGUUGGUGCAACAGAGGACAGUUGCGUCUUUGUUUCUGUGCUUGUUUUUAUGGCACUGAUAAAAAUCCCGCCUCACAAUGGCAGGUUAGUGUGUGCUUGGUAAAUAUGGCUGUUCUUCAUCACUUGGUAUUGCUAUGUGCUAAAAACAGGGCUUUAACUUGACUGUGGUAUCAGGACUUGCUGACAUUUUGCAUAAGAUGAGAAACAAGACGUGCCAGACCAGGUUAGAGGUGAAACUGAAAAUUCCCAGGGUUUCCUGUUUGCUUGUAAAAAUCCAGCAUUCAGAGAACCUUCUAGUUCAGCUCUUCCCUGCUGGCAUGACCAGAUGCGAGAGUUAGACUUGUAGAGAUGAAUUUAUGGGCAAUGAACAUUGUCUUGUGCAACGUGAUUUUAGUUUGAAUCACGCAGGGCUGUUGGUAAUUGAUUUUUCUGUGGAAUUUAGUGGAAGCGGAGCCCCCUGCGUGCCACUGGAAGCCUGGUUCUUGUUGUCCUCUCCUGUCUCUCAGGCACAGGGCCCAUAUUUCAUUUCCAAUCCAACAGCAGUGGUCCCUCCAAGGCCAGGAGAGCACCAAGCGCGUGUGAGCAGUGGUUUCUGUGGGAGCUUGGGCUCCAGGGCUGUGCCACGCAGCGGGAAAGGAGUUUGUGGUUCGGUCGGGAGGCCUCAGGUGGGCCUUUCAAGGGCACCCUCGGAGUGAGGAGCAGCCUUGGAGCUCCUGGCAGGGGCCUGCCUGCUGCCUGCUCGGCUGUGGGUGUAUGGCACUGCGCCACCUGGCCAAACCAGCGAUUAAUUGUGCUCAUCUGUAAGCUGUGUUUUUUUUGCUUAUCUGCAAGCCGCCACCUGGCUGAGGUUGCACGGGUUUGCUACCAACAGAUGGCAGUAGGUGUUCGUGUCUGGAAGUGCGUUUAAAGCAAGAGCUGGGGCCAGCUGCUGCCAGACAAGUGGGAUGUAAGGGGAUGGUGAGGUGCUCAGGGACGAGAAGGAAACCAUGAAUUUCUGAAAAGUUGCAGAAAAGUUGCUCUGCCUCCCCUGAGUAAGGUGCUGUGUCUCCUUCAGUUGAAAAACUCGUAACAGAAAUGGUCAAGAGAAUGGAAAUUGGUUUGUUUUGUUUUGCUUUUAUCUAGUAUCUGCCAAAUUAGCCUUUUUCAGACUGCACCAUAAGCUAGCUCUCCGACAUCUCCCCCACCUCAGUCCAAGCUUUUAGGUUUAGCUGGCAGACUUGGGGAUUUUUGUCCUAAGCCAAUUUUGAAUGCUCUUUUUAGCCCCCUCCACGUAUGCUCAAACCAGAAAUGCUGCUGUCCUCAGGAGCACGCAAAAUUAGCGGUUUCUGUUUAUUUUAUUUUAUUUUAUUUUAUUUUAUUUUAUUUUAUUUUAUUUUAUUUUAUUUUAUUUUAUUUUAUUUUAUUUUAUUUUAUUUUCCCCCUCAGCUAUCCCUAGUGCUAGCUAGCAUGGAUUUGUCAGCUGUCCUGAGGCCGAUGUUUCAAAAUAAGCAGGUACACAGCAGAUGUGUGCGAGAGGGAAGCCGGGGGUGUUCGCUGUGCAGGUGAGAGCUCGAGGAGCUGGGACUGGGCUCUGCGUAGGAGCGGUGUGGUCCCAGUGGGCAUCCAGUGCUAGCCAAGAGCUGACUGUUUCUGUGUGCAAACCGGGUGUACUUACACAAUGUCUGCCUAUCUCCUCACUAGCCAGCUGCAUCUAAAAUAAGACAGAGACGCUUUACCAGUGAAACAGUGUUUAAUAUAGUUAAAUUACUUAAAUAGAUUUCAAUUUCCAUGGGAAAUCAUAACUGUAUCCAUUUUUGCAAGAUCCAGAGUAAAGAGUGUGUGAAUACCCCUUGAAAUGAUCAUGACACACUGUCAACAAUCACAGCUAGAGAUACCGGGGACUUGAAAUUUCAUUGACAACACAACUUCAUAAGAUGAAUCAAAAGGUGGCCAAAGAGUUUGCUGAUACCAGCUCUAGAGUCGCUGUGUGAAAUUUCAACUGCGUUGCGUUUGUAAGAUUCACUGCCGAAAAGUGAUUCUUCUCCCGUUCACAAUCUCCUGUAAUGCAAAUUCCAUCUCUGAGCGAUGCUGCAGUUGGCGCUAACUGACCGGAGGCCCUUCAUUUAGAAAGUAGGUGGUCAUUUCUCCUUUGCCUUUGACCUUAAUGACCCCUCGAUAUUCCAGCUGGUAGUUGUUGGCUGCUAGAACCUGGUACAUGUCUGUGGUUACCUGCAAAAUAAACAAGAAUAAGUGUACGCUUGUCAUGCUUUUCAUGUAAUCUUUUCACUUCCUUCUGGAGUCCUCAGGUAAAAUUAAAGUAGGAUCAAUUGUUUUGUU